rnacentral:rRNA from 1 species
CGAAGCGAAGCAGUGAUGUGAAGCAAAUACGCACCAAAGCCAGUCCCAGUUCGGAUAAGAGGCUGAAACUCGCCUCUUUGAAGUCGGAAUCGCUAGUAAUCGCAGAUCAGCAUGUUGCGGUGAAUACGUUCCCGGGUCUUGUACACACCGCCCGUCAAACCAUGAGAGUCACCAACACCCGAAGUCCGCCUUGGCGGCCUAAGGUGGGGGAGAUGAUUGGGGUUAAGUCGUAACAAGGUACC